UAUAGUCUGGACAGUAUUUUUUAUUGCUUUCGUUCCUAAAUAAUAGUUGUUGAUUUCUUUGCGAGAGAUAACAUGUUCCAACUUUACGACAUUGACUUUGUUUUUUCGGCCUUUGACCAUCACGUGCAGGUCAUAUGUUAUCAUACUUUGGAUGUUUUCACCCUUUUUCCUCCAAUUCCUACACAUAAAUAUGAGUAUCAAAAACAAACCAAAACAAAAAUCCCCUCUAUUUCUUCACCCCAAAUCCAGAAUAUCGAAAAAUAAAUAAACUCUUCAUCCUAAAUUGAUCACAUGCAAGGUCAAAAGAUGGAUUUUUUUUCUCUAAUCAAUCAUUCCCCAUCAGAAUUCGAGUGUGUUCAUCCACAAUUUGGACUUGGAGGAAAAGGGGUGAAAAUAGCAAAAAAUGAUAACAUGUGACUUGCACGUGAUGGUCAAAGGCCGGAAAUCAAAGUCAAUGCCAAAAAGUGGGAACGGGCCGGUUGUCUUUCGUAAAGAAAUUUUAGUGUAAGGUACAUUCAGGUGAACUGUUUUUUGGUGUUACCACCUCGUUCAUAGGGUUAAUCCGGAUUCGAGACGUGUUAUGGGUGGGUAGGUUCCAGUCCCCUCCUAAUUAUUGUUAAGGGAUCGAACACGCGAUCCACCCUACCAAAUCCAGCCCCAAUCACUAAGACGCUACUGAACCAACAUGCAAUUAGUACAUCCAGGUGAACUGUAACUUUGUAAGAUAUAUUUUGUAAGAUAAUAGUUCGAUUGUACGUACGGAGUAGAAUAGUUCGUAUGUUAUACUUCCUAUGUUCUUUUUAAAAUGACACAAUUAUUUAGGCACGUUUGCCAAUGCACGAUUUCAAACAUAAAUAUAUCUUCUAUUAUGGAAGAAAAAAAUUACAAAAAGUUGAUAUUUAAAUAAUAUUUAUUGAGACGAAUCUAAUAAGACCACACACGACUAUGUUUUUUCUUAUGUAUAAAUCACAAAAGGAAGUUAAAGUAACUUGUGAGAAUAGCGUCAAAAAUCCAACAGUUUCAUAUAAAUAAGAACAGAGAAAGUAUAAAGAAACUUUUUGGCUCCAAAUCUCCAAUAGUGUCAAAGGGUUAAGGGCUACAUGGUAAUUGCAUUGAACCCUUUUUUUUAAUUAUUAUUAUUAUU